rnacentral:rRNA from 1 species
UACAGAGGAGCCAAGCGUUGUCCGGAUUGACUGGGCGUAAAGCGCACGCAGGCGGUCUGGCGCGUGGGGUGUGAAAUCUGGCCGCUUAACGGCCAGGCGCCAUCCCAUACGGCCGGACUGGAGCCUUGCAGAGGUCGGUGGAAUUGCCGGUGUAGUGGUGAAAUUCGUAGAUAUUGGGAAGAACACCGGUGGCGAAGGCGGCGACCUGGUCCUUGACUGACGCUGAGGCGCGAAAGCGUGGGGAGCAAACAGG